AUUGAACGCUGGCGGAAUGCUUUACACAUGCAAGUCGAGCGGCAGCGCGGGGCAACCUGGCGGCGAGCGGCGAACGGGUGAGUAAUGCAUCGGAACAUGUCCAUGUCGUGGGGGAUAGCCCGGCGAAAGCCGGAUUAAUACCGCAUACGCCCGAGAGGGGAAAGUGGGGGACCGCAAGGCCUCACGCGAUUGGGUUGGCCGAUGUCCGAUUAGCUAGUUGGCGGGGUAAGAGCCCACCAAGGCGAUGAUCGGUAGCUGGUCUGAGAGGAUGAUCGGCCACACUGGGACUGAGACACGGCCCAGCCUCCGACGGGAGGCAGCAGUGGGGAAUUUUGGACAAUGGGGGCAACCCUGAUCCAGCCAUUCCGCGUGAGUGAAGCAGGCCUUCGGGUUGUAAAGCUCUUUUGUCCGGAACGAAACGGUUACGGUGAAUACCCGUGACUACUGACGGUACCGGAAGAAUAAGCACCGGCUAACUACGUGCCAGCCGCCGCCGUAAUAC
rnacentral:rRNA from 1 species